CUCUUUUUCUCUCUCUCUCUCUCUCUCUCACCCGGGAAAGGCGAUUCUCUACAGAUCUAAUACUUCUCUCACUCUCAAGCAAAUUUAUUACUUGUCUCGAACAAAUUAAUCAUCACCAUGGGAAAAAUUGAUGAUGGUUGUAUUUACUAGUUAGGUUUCAACAACUUUCAGAAGAUUUGAAAAUGGCUGGCUCACCUCUGAUUUCAGGUUUUGUCAGAGCUUCAACUCACCAACUUAUUAGGGUUGGUGUUCUUAUAGGCAAAGCUCGAGAGACCAUUCGGUUAUUGCAGGAUUCAGGAGAUAAAAUUCAAAUCACAAGAGAUGCUGAAGCUGAUAGAUAUGCAACAACUAGACCUGUUGAAUUGGAUUCAGAUACAAGUCCCAAAUGAGAAGGUUGGUCUGAUCGUUGGCAAGGGAGGUGAAACAAUUAAAUCCUAUAGACAAUAUCUGGAGCAAAUAUCCAGGUAGUUGAUACCGUUAAGCUUUGUUUGUAGUGUACCUUGUGAUGCAAUGCAAGGAAUUCGAUCAACCAACAUGACUUAAUCAUUUCACUGAAAGCUAAUUAGUCUAGUUACCUGAACGAUACUUAUUAUGUCGGUUUAUUGUCUUAAUAUCCUUAUUACUUAUGAUAGUAUGAGAUACCUACCCUACUCAUUCGUAACAUUAAUGGAGCAUUUUCUUGGAUAUGUAUGUUACUCCAAAAAUAGUAGGUGUGCUGAUGAUAGUUUUAUGCAAUUUAUGUUUGCUUCUCGGUAAUUUGGUUAUUCAUUUGCCAUUUGAUAUAACAUAUAAUUCUAGGUAUUCACAUUUCUUCUAGUUAUUUUCUUUGGACCCUAUUAUACUAUAUGGUUACUGUAGAAGCACAUCCCAUGGUUGAGAGGACAACUUGAAGGCACUCCCAUGACAGAUUUCCAUAUGCUCGCAAUUGGGACGACGUUCCGCACAGUUUCGUAUAAAUCUUAUUGUAUUAAUGGCUAAAUAUUCUAUACAGCAGAUGCAGAAAAACAUUUGACUACACAAAAUAGUGGAGUCACAAUGAAUGCUUGCACCAGCUUUAGAGAAAGUUCCAGGGAUACUAACCUUGUCGAUGACGAUACUACAUACUACGACAUUCUGAAAAAGAUACUUGAACUAGACUAUGGAGUUUUCACAUAAGUUGUUUUUAUUGUGAUUGGGCGCGAGUUGAAGACAAAGUACAUGGAUCAUAUGUGGAUCGAGAGACAAAGUUGAGGUUUGUCAAUUUUGAAAAGUUUGCGAGAAGCUCAAAGGAAGAAGACGAGCCGUUCAUCCAUGCUUCUCAAGUUAGCCAAGUUUUUUACUGCAGCGAUUUGACAAGAAAGCAUUGGAAUCUGGUUUUGGAAUCUCCUAUAAGAUCAGACCCCCAUAUUAAUGCUUUUGAAGAUCCAUAUGUCUUCACUGCAACCUCUAGUGAUGCUCCAUUGAUUUCAGAAACGGUUGGAGAUGAUGAUUAUUGGAGUGUAAUUGCUCAGGGAGAUGAUGAGUAUUCGGAUGUAGAUGAUCAGGUAAUAAUGCUCGUUUCAAUAAAAUGUUUGUCCCUUUCAAUGAAAGCUUCUUUUCUUCUUACCAUACAUGCUUUAAUUGCUGAACAGUAAUGCAAACUUACAUACACUUUGCAAUUAUGAUACUUUCUGUGGUUAGAUAAUCACACUAUGUUGUCCUGUAUAUUUAUCUCAACAAGUGUUGUCGUCUGCUUCUUUUUUACAGUUCAAUAAUUUUUUUUUUGUUUCC